rnacentral:rRNA from 1 species
GAUGAACGCUGGCGGCGUGCCUAAUACAUGCAAGUCGAGCGAACAGACGAGGAGCUUGCUCCUCUGACGUUAGCGGCGGACGGGUGAGUAACACGUGGAUAACCUACCUAUAAGACUGGGAUAACUUCGGGAAACCGGAGCUAAUACCGGAUAAUAUAUUGAACCGCAUGGUUCAAUAGUGAAAGACGGUUUUGCUGUCACUUAUAGAUGGAUCCGCGCCGCAUUAGCUAGUUGGUAAGGUAACGGCUUACCAAGGCAACGAUGCGUAGCCGACCUGAGAGGGUGAUCGGCCACACUGGAACUGAGACACGGUCCAGACUCCUACGGGAGGCAGCAGUAGGGAAUCUUCCGCAAUGGGCGCAAGCCUGACGGAGCCACGCCGCGUGAGUGAUGAAGGUCUUCGGAUCGUAAAACUCUGUUAUUAGGGAAGAACAACUGUGUAAGUAACUAUGCACGUCUUGACGGUACCUAAUCAGAAAGCCACGGCUAACUACGUG